GGCUCUAUGGUUUAGUUAGUUAAAACACCUGUCUUAUGAACAGGAGAUACUGGGUUUGAGUCCCAGUAGGGCCU